GACGAACCGUCCGAACGUUAUUCGGAAUCACUGGGCUUAAAGGGUGCGUAGGCGGCGCAGUAAGUAGGGUGUGAAAUCCCUCGGCUUAACCGAGGAACUGCGCCCUAAACUACUGUGCUCGAGGGAGAUAGAGGUGAGCGGAACUUAGGGUGGAGCGGUGAAAUGCGUUGAUAUCCUAAGGAACACCAAUGGCGAAGGCAGCUCGCUGGGACGUUACUGACGCUGAGACGCGAAAGCGUGGGGAGCAAACAGG
rnacentral:rRNA from 1 species